AAAUCCGCUUUGAUAAUGCUGGGAUGUGAUGGGGAGCGAAAUUUAGUAGCGAAGUAGCUGAUUUCACACUGUCAAGAAAAGUCUCUAUCGAGGGUAAAGGUACCCGUACCGCAAACCGACACAGGGGGGUGAGGAGAGUAUCCUAAGGCCAGCGAGAGAACUGUUGUUAAGGAACUCGGCAAAAUGACCCCGUAACGUAGGGAUAAGGGGGGCAACAACCGGGUGGCCGCAGAGAGGAGGCGCA
rnacentral:rRNA from 1 species